rnacentral:misc_RNA from 1 species
GGGGGAAAUUGAAGCCACGAUCCUAAACCGGGCGUCCGAAGCCCGUUCGCCAACAAAAUCAACUAAACACCAAACGAACGAAUCGAGAAGCAGAAUCCAAUUGUUAAUAUAUUGGAUAAAAAGCCAAUGUAAUAAAACCUACUUUCAAAGUGAAUGAGUUUAGAUAAUGGAUGAAUGUUUUUAUUGCUAUUUUAACAAGAUGAGAUAUAUCGAGCAGGGAAUUGUAUUCGGAAACGGAAAGAAGUCAGCAACGAAUAUCAGACAUGGUAUUGUGACGCCUGCUGUUUUACGGAUACUAAAAUUGA